rnacentral:rRNA from 1 species
CAGCAGCCACGGGAAUACGGAGGGUGCAAGCGUUAAUCGGAAUUACUGGGCGUAAAGCGCACGCAGGCGGUUUGUUAAGUCAGAUGUGAAAUCCCCGAGCUUAACUUGGGAACUGCAUUUGAAACUGGCAAGCUAGAGUCUUGUAGAGGGGGGUAGAAUUCCAGGUGUAGCGGUGAAAUGCGUAGAGAUCUGGAGGAAUACCGGUGGCGAAGGCGGCCUCCUGGACAAAGACUGACGCUCAGGUGCGAAAGCGUGGGGAGCAAACAGGAUUAGAUACCCGAGUAGUCCCUGUCUCUUAUAC